rnacentral:rRNA from 1 species
UUAAAGCUCUUUUGUCAGGGAAGAAACGGUAGAGGUUAAUAUCCUUUGCUAAGGACGGUACCUGAAGAAUAAGCACCGGCUAAUUACGUGCCAGCAGCCGCGGUAAUACGUAGGGUGCAAGCGUUAAUCGGAAUUACUGGGCGUAAAGCGUGCGCAGGCGGUUUUGUAAGUCUGUCGUGAAAUCCCCGGGCUCAACCUGGGAAUUGCGAUGGAGACUGCAAGGCUAGAAUCUGGCAGAGGGGGGUAGAAUUCCACGUGUAGCAGUGAAAUGCGUAGAGAUGUGGAGGAACACCGAUGGCGAAGGCAGCCCCCUGGGUCAAGAUUGACGUUCAUGCACGAAAGCGUGGGGAGCAAGCAGGAUUAGAUACCCUGGUAGUCCAC